rnacentral:snRNA from 1 species
AUCGCUUCUCGGCCUUUUGGCUAAGAUCAAGUGUAGAAUCUCAUCUUGCCAAUAUCAGGCAAUUGUCCUGCCAGGCGUUCUAUUAAGAAAGGUGAUCUGCUAUAAAAAUAUCAAGACAUUCUCCCAAUUUAA